AACGCGAAGAACCUUACCUGGGCUCGAAGCGCAGUGGACCGGGGUGGAAACAUCCCUUUUCGCAAGAACUGCUGCGGAGGUGCUGCAUGGCUGUCGUCAGCUCGUGUCGUGAGAUGUUGGGUUAAGUCCCGCAACGAGCGCAACCCUUAUCGUUAGUUGCCAGCGGGUUAUGCCGGGCACUCUAGCGAAACCGCCUCGGAUAACGGGGAGGAAGGUGGGGAUGACGUCAAGUCCUCAUGGCCUUUAUGUCCAGGGCUACACACGUGCUACAAUGGUCGGUACAAACCGUCGCAAACCCGCGAGGGGGAGCUAAUCGGAAAAAGCCGGCCUCAGUUCGGAUUGGAGUCUGCAACCCGACUCCAUGAAGCUGGAAUCGCUAGUAAUCGCAGAUCAGAACGCUGCGGUGAAUACGUUCCCGGGCCUUGUA
rnacentral:rRNA from 1 species